CCCAUAGUGGAUUAUUCUCAAUACCAUGUAUCUGCCCAUGGCGACCUAUUUUCAAUGUUAUGUUUCUGCCUAUAGCAGGAUAUUCUCAAUAUCAGGUUUCUAUCCACGACGAGGCUAUUCUCAGUUUAACAUGGCUAGCCUAAACAUUUCUUUCUUCAUCAUCAAUUUAUUAAAUCAUAAUUAUACUAAAAAAAUAUUAUAUUAUAUUAUGCUCUUUUCAAAAAUCUCAAUUAUUGGUA
rnacentral:lncRNA from 1 species